rnacentral:tRNA from 1 species
GCCCUGGUAGCGCAGCUGGUAGAGCACAACACUUUUAAUGUUGGGGUCCUGGGUUCGAACCCCAGCCAGGUCA